GGAGGGUGCAAGCGUUAAUCGGAAUUACUGGGCGUAAAGCGCGCGUAGGCGGCUUUGUAAGUCGGAUGUGAAAGCCCUGGGCUUAACCUGGGAAUUGCAUUCGAUACUGCAUAACUAGAGUAUGGUAGAGGGAAGUGGAAUUUCCGGUGUAGCGGUGAAAUGCGUAGAUAUCGGAAGGAACACCAGUGGCGAAGGCGACUUCCUGGGCCAAUACUGACGCUGAGGUGCGAAAGCGUGGGGAGCAAACAGGGAUUAGAUACCCUGGUAGUCCACGCCGUAAACGAUGAGAACUAGAUGUCGCGAGGAUCUGCCUUCCGGUGUCGCAGCUAACGCGUUAAGUUCUCCGCCUGGGGUACGCCGGCAACGGU
rnacentral:rRNA from 1 species